UACGAGAUCAGCGUAUCGAUCAGUGGUUAAGGUCGUAGCGCUAUAAGUCAGUGUGAAAGCCCAUCGCUCAACGAUGGAACUGGCCAUUGAUACGUGUAAAGGCUUGAAUUAUUGUGAAGUAACUAGAAUAUGUAGUGUAGCGGUGAAAUGCUUAGAUAUUACAUGGAAUACCAAUUGCGAAGGCAGGUUACUAACAAUGGAUUGACGCUGAUGGACGAAAGCGUGGGGAGCGAACAGGAUUAGAUACCCGGGUAGU
rnacentral:rRNA from 1 species